ACUUUUAUUUAUCAUUAUUCAGGCAAUAGCAGUGUAUAUAGAUUCCCUUUUAAUGUUUUCAAUCCAUUGAUCUAUGGCUUCUUGUUCGAACCACUAGAAGUUUCCUCGGAAAUAACACUUGUAGGUUUUGUCUUUUCAGUCUUUGGUAAACCGCCGUUAGUACCGGGAAAAGGGAAGCUUGGGAUCCACGAGGGGAAUUCAAAACUCCCUUCUUCUGACUCCUUUGGUGGCUCCUCUGGUUCCUCAGGAUCUUCUGGAAUCUCCGGCUCCUCCGGCUCUUCUGGAAUCUCCGGUUCCUCCGACUCCUCAAGCCUAUUAUAUUGUGGAAUCUUUGUGGCCUCUUCUUGUACCAGAGAGUGACCUAUUCUAGCAGCAAAAAUAGGUGUAGCAAACAAAAGGGACGACGAAAUAAAAACAAGGAAAAACAUAAAAGAGACAAGAAUAGGAAUGCGAAGAUUAAUCAUUUUUGUGAUAUGGUAUUUUCUCUUGAAUGGAAACCAGCUUGAAGGGUCAAGUAAUAUUGUGAGUGAACAGAGUCUGUGUUUUGGUAUUGUGUAACGAGUGAGUUGUUAUAUAUUACAUAGACGAGAGAGCUAUUUAUAAUGUAAUUUUCAUAGGUGUCAACAAAUAUGGUGAGAAGAACUCUAAUCACCAUUUUGAGUUUUUGAUGUUAGUCUUCAACAAACUCACCUAUAUUUUCAUUUAAUUUUACUUCUUAUAUGUAUAACUCCUUUACGUUUAAUUAGCUGAGAACUUAAAGUAGUUUACCUGUUCAAGUUAUAAACAUUAGACAUUACAAGAAAACUUGUAUAAUGGAUAGAUCAAUCUCACCUAUCUAGUCAAAAUAGAUAGAAACAAAAGAAGCUCCUCAAUCAAUUUUAAAAGUAUCCAAUUAGUAAAAUAUAUUUUAUAUAUAUGAGGAGCAAAAAUCAACUAAAUACAUUGUAAAAGUCUAAACCCCAUGGUGGUAUUAAAAAGGAAUUCACCAAAACAAUAGUAAUAGAUGUGAACUUCUUGUAAGGAUUCACUUGAGACUUGAGAGGGAUAAACGUAGAGGACUGUCACCGUGUGGCACCUUGACCAGGCAUGCUUAGCCGGUUUCAAGAGAUUGAGAGCUCUACGUGUAGUGUCUAAUCAUCUCUGGUUAAACAUUUCACACCAAUGAUGCUUCACAUCAUUUCAGGCAUAAUCACCAUGUUCUUUAAAUGUGUCCUCACUACUUCCUAUUUUUCCGUUUAACCAAGUUUUUUUUAUUUAAUAAACCUAAAGGAUCUUUGCCUGUUCAGAUGAAUAGAAUCGAUAUUCAUAAAAUUAGCCCGUAUUAUUUGAAACACGUGAACAAUUGUUUUUAGACAAAACGAUUAAUUAACAUAGAUAAGUAACACAAACCAUUAAAAGAGUAUAUGAAACACAUAAUGAAACAUACAAGUAUAACAGAUUACAAGUAUAAGUGUAUGAAGAAAGGCUAUCAGAUCAAACCAUAGACAUGGUUCCCUAAGUAACCGACGAUGAGAUAGACACACAAGACAAAGGUGAUAUAGUAAUCUAGAUCAUGGGCGUGGGCCUUAAAGUAGAUGGGCUUUCAUACAGUUCAAUAGGCUUAGUGAGUUCCAGGCACUUUUGGGAGUUCCGGCAACUUGGGAACUUCAGGCAUCUUAGGUAGCUCCGGUUUUGGAAUCUCCGGCAUUUUUGGAACCUCAGGUUUCUGAAUCUCCGGCAUCUUCGGCAACUCCGGCUUUGGAAUCUCUGCCAUCUUCGGCAAUUCCGGUUUUUGAAUCUCCGGCAUCUUUGGCAGCUCCGGCAACUUAGGAGCUUCAGGCUUUUGAAUUUCCGGAAUCUUUGGUAGCUCCGGUUUAGGAACCUCUGGUACUUUUGGUAGCUCCGGUUUAGGAAUCUCUGGUACCUUUGGUAGCUCUGGUUUAGGAAUCUCCGGCACCUUUGGCAGCUCUGGUUUAGGAACCUCAGGCUUGGGAGUCUCCAUCAACUUAGUCCCCUCGUGCUUUGGAAAUUCAGGUAACUUGGGAAUGUCUAGUUUAGGGAGCUCCGGGAACUUAGGAACUUCGAAUUUAGGUAGCUCCGGGUGAGGAAGUUCAGGCAAUUUUGGUAACUCCAUGUGAGGUAGUUCGGGCAGUUUUGGUAUCUCCAUGUGAGGUAGUUCAGGCAAUUUGGGUAUUUCCGGUUUAGGAAUCUCCUCCACUAACCGGCGAGCUCCCACUGAAACCGGAUUAGCUAGCAAUGCAGUUAGACAGAUGAUGAGAAGUGGUGAUGAGAGGAGAAGAGCAAAGAGGCUCUUCUUCAUCAGUGCCAUGGUUCUGCUUGCUUGCUUGAAUGAAAAGUGUUUGCCUUCUUCUUCUUCUUCUUCUUCUUCUUUUGCUUUGAUGUGUGUUUGUUUGUUUUUGGUUUUUGAUGAGUUUUUGGUCUUUGAUUCGAAUGGUUAUUUAAAGGUGUUGAGAGGAAGAGGGAAGAUGAGUUUGGUGGGAAAAUAGUCUAUAUAAUUCAAAAAGUUCGUUUAACCUCUCUAUCUGUAUUCUAUCUAGUUGACUUUUAGAUCCUAAUGUUUACGUGUUCAUUUUUUUGUUACACGUCUAUCUUGAAAAUAAUCAUCAAUUAAACCAAGUUUAUUAACAAUCACUAAGAAAUCAAGUUUGAGGCUUGAUCAAUUGUGCCUUACAAAUAUCUAGCCAGUUGUGUUGAUUCUGACGAAUCAAAAUUUCAAGAUGAAUAUUUUUUGCACAUAAAUUUGGUAAAUUUGCAAGUACGAAACGAAAAGCAGCUUCAGAUUAAAGAAUGAAAGCAAACAACGUUUAGGUUGUGGUCGGUAAUCUACACAACGACUGUAGAUCCUUUUGCCUUGUGUGGUAUGUUAUGCUAUUUGUCAUCAAGUCAUUGAAGUACAAUAUAUUGUUUGAUAUAUUUGAUCUUCAGACAUAUUUUACAAAAGAAAGUUAUAGAAUUGGGUAUAACUUCAGCCGGUAACAACUUUCUUUCAAUAAAAUGUAUAAGCCAAAAUGAAACAAGUCUGAUCAGAAGCUUGCUACCUCUAAUCUGAGAAAACAAGUGUUGGUGCCUUACUUCCAUCGCAACUAUAUCAUCCGAAACCAGUUCUUGGAUAUGAUACAUAAAGGUUAUACAUAAGAUUACAUUACAUUGAUUCCACAAACGAAUCAAAGCUACAUCAUUUUCAACUACUAACAAUACAUAGGCCCGAGAACAUGCAACCACAAAACAAACAAGGACAUAAUAAAGGUCUUACUUUCACUAAGUAGCCUUGACCUUAUCAGCUACAACAACACAAAAGUAUUAACAUAUUUUUCAAGAACUCAUCAAGUUCCUCAAAAAACUCUAUCCUUUUGAUAUCAUCCUCCUUUCUUAUUCUUCUUUGCAUGAUCUCUCUCCUCAUCAUCAUCAGAUAUGUUAAUAUAUAACUCGUCACCACCAUCCUCCACGUCGUGAUAGUUUCUUGGAGCUGGUGUUUUAACAUUUGCCUGAUGAUGAUCAGCGCUUAGCACAGGGCAGUGGAAGAGAUGUGAAACCGGCGACCAACCAGAACCAGAGGUUUUAGCAUCACCUGAAAACCCUACCGGAAACAUAGCCCACGAACAGAAAAAGUAAACGCCCUGGCCAUUACUCUCCACCGGCGGCGUCUCCAUCUUAACCGCUUCAAACGCUCUCCCACACUGCUGACACCUCAACGCGCAUUCCUCGUAGCCCUUAGGGUACUCGAAAAGCGCGUAACAGUACGGACACGCCGUCCAAAAGCUCGCAGCAUUAGGACUCUCCGAGGUCUCAGCUAACUGCUCCCGUUGGCUUUGAGGUUGACCGAGUUGGUGGUCGUAGAUUGAUUUUCUCGGAGGAUCGGAGAGGACGCACCAAGCCUCAGCUUGAGCGCUUGGUCGGCGAAAGGGAGACGGUUCACAGUGGGGUUGAGGAGAAGAGCGAGUCUACGGUACUGAACCGCGACGCGUUCGAGGCUUUGGGUUAGUUUCUCGAGUCGGAGCACCGCGUACCAGUCAGGUAGUUUAGAAUCUCCGACGGUGGAUUCUCCGGCGAGGAGAGUGUCGGCGAUGGCGAUGAUGUAGUCUGCUGCAUGUGUUCGGGACGAGUCGUCUUCGCAUGCGCGGAUGGCUAAUGCCUUUGCUCCUUUGAAGUCACUUGAGGCUAGAAGCUCCUUCGAUGUGACUAGCCACCGAUCCGCCUCCGCUCCGUUAUCGUCGCCGCUGACCAUAUCUUUGUUUCUCAACCUUUGUUUUUGAGUAAAUACAGAACAGUGUUACUUUGCUAGUGGACCAACAAGACACUGUCGGACUAUACACAAUAUCUAUGGGUAGUUUUGUCAUUUCCACUAGGCCUCUCUAAACCGGCCGGUAUAUAGCAUACCAAUGAUUGUUAUUGAACUGAUCUCAAGUUUUUUUUUUGUCUUGGUCAACCAUUGUUAUUAGGACAAUUUUGCUUUCCCACAUCUUUGUCUGAAUAUAGUAAAUUUUGGGAGAUUUCUUUAACAAUUUCUUUACAUUUGAAGUUAUGAACCAAUAUAACUCCUGACAAUGCGGUUUUGAUUAUUAACGUGGAACAUUCUCAUGAGGUGAAACGGUAAGAUCGGAGGUGGUGGUAAAGACUGUAAUAACAGCCACACAUCAUCCUCUAUUUCUUUUUCUUCCCACGCAUUUUGUUUCUCUGAUAUAACAAAAACUAUUAGAGAUUAGAGAAGAAUUAAAGACGAUCGAUAAUAGAGAUUGGUUGCAACAAUGGAUGAAGAGUAUGAUGUGAUUGUUCUUGGUACUGGUCUCAAGGAGUGUAUUCUUAGUGGUCUCCUCUCUGUCGAUGGCCUCAAGGUUCUCUUUCAAUUCAAUUCCAAAUGCAUGAUUAUUUUUGUGCAUGAUCACAUGCAUGUAUACUAUAGCUUUAUUUUUACGUUUAGUUCUGGUUUUUGUUUUAGUUAUGAAUCUUAUGUCAGAUCAAUAGUUGAAUUGCCGCCUUUGGCAGUGAAGUAUAGUGCUCCAAUAAUAGCCUUUUGACCUUUGAACGAGAUUUUGUUUCGUAGACCAUGAAUGAUAUUAUAAGAUGAUUAGUGUGAAGUGUGUUAUUUUAGAAACACAUACAUAAAUACAUUUAUCUUUCAAAUAUGUAAUCAUCUAUAUAGGUACUGCAUAUGGAUAGAAACGACUACUAUGGAGGAGAAUCAAGCUCUCUUAACCUCACUCAGCUAUGGAAGCGUUUCAGGGGAAGUGACACUCCUGAAGAAAAUCUUGGAGCAAUUAGAGAAUACAAUGUCGAUAUGAUCCCAAAGGUAUGUACAUAUCUAUUAGUGAAUAUUCACAUAUAUGUAAUGUGAAUCGAUAAAUAAGGAGAUAAUGGUUUCUUGAUCUGCAGUUUAUAAUGGCUAAUGGACUCCUUGUUCAAACCCUAAUCCACACUGAUGUCACCAAGUAUCUUAACUUCAAAGCCGUUGAUGGCAGCUUCGUCUACAAUAAGGGCAAGGUAGUGAUUAAGUCUAUUUUUUUUACCUUAAAUAUAAGUAACUACUAGCUAGAGAUUUUGAUCAUCCGUACCAUUCAAACGUCAGAUCUAUAAAGUCCCAGCCACUGAUGUGGAAGCCCUAAAGUCGCCAUUGAUGGGACUAUUCGAGAAACGACGUGCGAGAAAGUUCUUCAUCUAUGUGCAAGACUACGAUGAGAAGGAUCCUAAGUCUCACGAAGGACUUGACCUUAGCAAAGUCACUGCUAGAGAGAUCAUCUCGUACGUCCAACUCAAAAUCAUUUCAUCAUUUGUUUCUUGCGUUACAAGCUUUGUCUCUCUGGUUUCUCUUUUCCCAAUAGGAAGUACGGACUUGAAGAUGAUACAAUCGACUUCAUCGGUCAUGCCUUAGCGCUUCACAAUGACGAUGACUACUUGGAUCAACCAGCCAUUGAUUUUGUUAAGAGAAUCAAGGUAAAGUGUUUUAUUUUCUUCUUGAAUAUGGAAAUGUUCUGAUCUCAAUGUGCAUUUUAUUGUUUGUUAUGUGGUAAAGCUCUACGCAGAGUCCUUGGCUCGAUUCCAAGGAGGGUCUCCUUACAUCUACCCACUGUAUGGUCUAGGAGAGUUGCCACAGGUCCGUGUUCACCUUAUUCUCAUGAAACAUGUUAGGUUUCAUCUUAAUUUAAGACCAUUUUCUAUGUUAAAAUCUCUGUUUAUAUUCUCAGGCUUUCGCGCGUUUGAGCGCUGUGUAUGGAGGGACUUACAUGCUGAACAAGCCUGAAUGCAAGGUUACACACCAUCCAUAAUUAAUCUCUUCUUUCUCGGUUUUGUUUAUUAGAAAUCUCAUAUCCAUAAAUGUAUAAGAUAGCUCGAAACUCAUGAAUAUCUUUAACAUUAUCCCUAACAGGUUGAGUUUGAUGGCUCCGGAAAAGCUAUCGGUGUCACUUCUGCAGGAGAAACUGCUAAAUGCAAGAAAGUUGUCUGUGAUCCUUCUUACUUGUCUGACAAGGUAACUCUAAACCCAUUUCACCUAUAAAGGUUGGUUCACCACUUGAUUCUCGCAAAGGCCUAGUAACGUUCUAAUAAGACGGUUUCCUUGUGUUUCAGGUUAAGAAAGUUGGGAAAGUGGCUCGAGCGGUGUGUAUAAUGAGCCAUCCUAUUCCAGACACCAACGACGCUCACUCGGUCCAAAUCAUUCUUCCACAGAAGCAGCUCGGACGCAAAUCAGACAUGUAAGAGAUUAUAAUCAAAAUUGUAAACUUUGAAAAAAUUAUUAUGUUUUGAAUUUUUAUUUGUUUAGAAUUAUGAAAAUAGAUAAUCACAAAAAAUAUACUUUUAUAACUAAAAUUAAAAACUUUGAAACAUGAGUAUAAUUUAGUACCACUACAACAAACGUAAUAAUUUCUUAGUUGUUAGUUAAAGUGAAGCCCGUAUGCUUGGUCUUCUCUUUCACUUUUGUUUUUGUUUAUAAUAAUUAACGAGCCAAAUAGUGGAAGUAAGUUUUAACUUUUUCUGGGUGGUUUCUUUAAUUAUUGUUUCAAAUUAUUUCCUUUAGGUGCGUGGGUGGGAUGUUUUGGAACAUUUACGAUGAUCAUAGGAUAAACACGUACAUACUUCAUUUUCUUGGGGUUUAAGAAAAAAACAAAUUACAUUAGAACUUUUGUUUGUUUACUUGUUCAGGAGUAUAUAGCUAGCUAAGAAAACACCAUUUUAUCCCAAUCGUUUUUACAUUUAGUGUAAGACUAUAUAGUAAAUAGUAAUAUUUUAAUAAGAAAUUUAACAAUUUGAGUAGCAUUACCCGUAUUUGAUUGAGAAAGGGAAUAAAGAAAAGAAAAAAGAAAAAGGGAAGCAAGUGAAUGAUUAAAGAAAUGCACGGGGAUUAAGUGCUUAAUUGCCUUGACGACUACUUUUUCCCAUCCUUUGUUUCUUUCUUGCUUUUUGAAUUUUUUUCUUCUAAAGAUUGAUUUCUUGUUACCUUGUUCAUGUGUUUUGUUUGAUUUGAUAUGAGGAUAGUUGUUACCGAGUGAGACCAGAGGAGGAGCUAUAUGAUUACUAUUUUCAAUAUGAUUUCAAACUACUUUAAAAUUUCUAAAUUUCUAGGAAACAAUUAUGCUAUCUGUUGAGAAAUAAUCAUUUAAAACAUGUUAAGAUAAGACUGCUGAAUAUGAUAUUUAAAUAUAAGCUUCACAUUGUCAAGGAAGACUAAGCUUUGCUAAGAUGAGUAGCCGUAUGAAAUUGGGUCUAUUCCCUAACUCAAGACUGAUAAAUGAGCCAUAAUUCUAUCCUAAAGUUGGGCAUAUUCACCAAAGUUGGACUGAUAAUUGCCCAUUUAAAGCUUUCAGUUUCUUUUUUUGGGCCAACGUAAGCUGUCAGAUAAGAAGACUUGGCAAAGCUCUCAACAUCUGGUGUACGUAAAAUAAAAUUUGUCAAAAGAAGUCAUAGAAAAAAUGAUGUUGAUACUAAUUUUUUUUUUUUUUUAAACAUUGCAUUCAUUCAAACCUACAAGGAUGAUACAUGGGUGAGAUACAAAGCCAGCAGCACACAUCAGUGUCUCUGGAAACAAAGCUGGACAAACCGAUGUUGAUACUAAUUACAAAACGUAAUAGUAAAAUAUAUAUUUUGUACCACAAGAAAAGCACACAAGCUACACGAGAGACUCAGUACAAAGACUAUUCAUUUCGAGACGUCAGUGACCCAAACAUGACAUGAAAAUGCAACAAUGCAUAAGUACUAUCUCGUGUUUCAUAAAACACAAACAAGCCUAUUAUUACACCAUAUACUUUUAUUUAUCAUUAUUCAGGCAAUAGCAGUGUAUAUAGAUUCCCUUUUAAUGUUCUCAAUCCAUUGAUCUAUGGCUUCUUGUUCGAACCACUAGAAGUUUCCUCGGAAAUAACACUUGUAGGUUUUGUCUUUUCAGUCUUUGGUAAACCGCCGUUAGUACCGGGAAAAGGGAAGCUUGGGAUCCACGAGGGGAAUUCAAAACUCCCUUCUUCUGACUCCUUUGGUGGCUCCUCUGGUUCCUCAGGAUCUUCUGGAAUCUCCGGCUCCUCCGGCUCUUCUGGAAUCUCCGGUUCCUCCGACUCCUCAAGCCUAUUAUAUUGUGGAAUCUUUGUGGCCUCUUCUUGUACCAGAGAGUGACC
rnacentral:lncRNA from 1 species